rnacentral:ncRNA from 1 species
CAGGGCAAAAUUGUUGAAAAGCAAUGACGCAAAGCUACAGGGCCUUUAACAUGGCAGCCAGCUGCA